rnacentral:rRNA from 1 species
GAUGAACGCUGGCGGCGUGCCCAAUACAUGCAAGUCGAGCGAACAGACGAGGAGCUUGCUCCUCUGACGUUAGCGGCGGACGGGUGAGUAACACGUGGAUAACCUACCUAUAAGACUGGGAUAACUUCGGGAAACCGGAGCUAAUACCGGAUAAUAUAUUGAACCGCAUGGUUCAAUAGUGAAAGACGGUUUUGCUGUCACUUAUAGAUGGAUCCGCGCCGCAUUAGCUAGUUGGUAAGGUAACGGCUUACCAAGGCAACGAUGCGUAGCCGACCUGAGAGGGUGAUCGGCCACACUGGAACUGAGACACGGUCCAGACUCCUACGGGAGGCAGCAGUAGGGAAUCUUCCGCAAUGGGCGAAAGCCUGACGGAGCAACGCCGCGUGAGUGAUGAAGGUCUUCGGAUCGUAAAACUCUGUUAUUAGGGAAGAACAAAUGUGUAAGUAACGAUGCACGUCUUGACGGUACCUAAUCAGAAAGCCACGGCUAACUACGU